rnacentral:rRNA from 1 species
GAUGAACGCUGGCGGCGUGCUUAACACAUGCAAGUCGAACGGGAAAUCUUUCAUUGAGACUUCGGUGGAUUUGAUUUAUUUCUAGUGGCGGACGGGUGAGUAACGCGUGGGUAACCUGCCUUAUACAGGGGGAUAACAGUCAGAAAUGGCUGCUAAUACCGCAUAAGCGCACCGAGCUGCAUGGCUCAGUGUGAAAAACUCCGGUGGUAUAAGAUGGACCCGCGUUGGAUUAGCUAGUUGGUGGGGUAACGGCCCACCAAGGCGACGAUCCAUAGCCGGCCUGAGAGGGUGAACGGCCACAGUGGGACUGAGACACGGCCCAGACUCCUACGGGAGGCAGCAGUGGGGAAUAUUGCACAAUGGGGGAAACCCUGAUGCAGCGACGCCGCGUGAAGGAAGAAGUAUCUCGGGAUGUAAACUUCUAUCAGCAGGGAAGAUAGUGACGGUACCUGACUAAGAAGCCCCGGCUAACUACGUG